GAUAAACGCUGGCGGCGCACAUAAGACAUGCAAGUCGAACGGACUUAACCAUUAGUUUACUAUUGGAGCGGUUAGUGGCGGACUGGUGAGUAACACGUAAGCAACCUGCCUGUUAGAGGGGAACAACAGUUAGAAAUGACUGCUAAUACCGUAUAUGCCUUAACUAUCGCAUGAUAGAAGAGGGAAAGGAGAAAUUCGCUAAUAGAUGAGCUUGCGUCUGAUUAGCUAGUUGGUGGGGUAAAGGCCCACCAAGGCGACGAUCAGUAGCCGAGCUGAGAGGCUCAACGGCCACAUUGGGACUGAGAUACGGCCCAG
rnacentral:rRNA from 1 species